UGGGGAAUAUUGGACAAUGGGCGCAAGCCUGCUCCAGCCAUGCCGCGUGAGUGAUGAAGGCCCUAGGGUUGUAAAGCUCUUUCACCGGUGAAGAUAAUGACGGUAACCGGAGAAGAAGCCCCGGCUAACUUCGUGCCAGCAGCCGCGGUAAUACGAAGGGGGCUAGCGUUGUUCGGAUUUACUGGGCGUAAAGCGCACGUAGGCGGACUAUUAAGUCAGGGGUGAAAUCCCGGGGCUCAACCCCGGAACUGCCUUUGAUACUGGUAGUCUUGAGUUCGAGAGAGGUGAGUGGAAUUCCGAGUGUAGAGGUGAAAUUCGUAGAUAUUCGGAGGAAGACCAGUGGCGAAGGCGGCUCACUGGUUCGAUACUGACGCUGAGGUGCGAAAGCGUGGGGAGCAAACAGG
rnacentral:rRNA from 1 species